GGUGAGAUGGCCGAGUGGUUAUGGCGCUGCGUUCAGGAAAUCUGAACAAAUUUCGCAGUGGAGCAAUCCGCGUGGGUUCGAGUCCCACUCUCAUCA
rnacentral:tRNA from 1 species